rnacentral:lncRNA from 1 species
CUAGACAGUGUAAUGGGUUAGAGAGAGAGAGGUUACUUACUAGACAGUGUAAUGGGUUAGAGAGAGAGAGAGAGGUUACUUACUAGACAGUGUAAUGGGUUAGAGAGAGAGAGAGGUUACUUACUAGACAGUGUAACGGGUUAGAGAGAGGUUACUUACUAGACAGUGUAACGGGUUAGAGAGAGAGAUUACUUACUAAACAGUGUAAUGGGUUAGACAGAGAGAGGUUACUUACUAGACUAGACAUUGUAAUGGGUUAGAGAGAGAGAGGUUACUUACUAGACAGUGUAAUGGGUUAGAGAGAGAGUUUACUUACUAGACAGUGUAAUGAUUUAGAGAGAGAGGUUACUUACUAGACAGUGUAAUGGGUUAGAGAGAGAGAGGUUACUUACUAGACAGUGUAAUGGGUUAGAGAGAGAGAGAU